CACUCCUGCGGGAGGCAGCAGUGGGGAAUAUUGGACCAUGGGCGCAAGCCUGAUCCAGCCAUGCCGCGUGAGUGAUGAAGGCCCUAGGGUUGUAAAGCUCUUUCACCGGAGAAGAUAAUGACGGUAUCCGGAGAAGAAGCCCCGGCUAACUUCGUGCCAGCAGCCGCGGUAAUACGAAGGGGGCUAGCGUUGUUCGGAAUUACUGGGCGUAAAGCGCACGUAGGCGGAUCGAUCAGUCAGGGGUGAAAUCCCAGGGCUCAACCCUGGAACUGCCUUUGAUACUGUCGAUCUGGAGUAUGGAAGAGGUGAGUGGAAUUCCGAGUGUAGAGGUGAAAUUCGUAGAUAUUCGGAGGAACACCAGUGGCGAAGGCGGCUCACUGGUCCAUUACUGACGCUGAGGUGCGAAAGCGUGAGGAGCAAACAUGAUUAGAAACCCGUGUAGUCCCAU
rnacentral:rRNA from 1 species